rnacentral:lncRNA from 1 species
UUAGACUAAACAAGAUGUUGUAUGUCAAAAGUGCAUUGUAAACUUAGUGCAAUUCAGACAUUUGAUGUGAUGUAUUUCACUAUUUGGAAACAUCUCUCAUUAAAAUAUGCAACAUUGAGAAAUCAAUAAAAAUGUGGUUCUAACAGUAGUUAGAAGUCCUUGCAAAGGAAUUUAGAAUGGUAGAACAUCAGAUAUGAAAAAUAUCUUAGUCCCAACCUACUAUUUUGCAAAUGAGGAUGCUAAGACUGAGCCCAUAAAGUACUUAUUAGUAGUGGAUCCAGGACUGGCACCCAAUUUUCUAAAAACUACUAUGCCAUGGUUAUAAUACUUUGCCCAAAGAGAGCAGUUUUCUUAGUUUCGUAACUUAAAAAUAGUAUAAGUCAAGUCACUCUUAAGACUGACAUCUGGCUUUAUUUAUUUAUUUAUUUUCAUCUGGCUUUAUUUUUAAAAAUUACUCCAACUUUUUAGUUUUAUAGUUCAUUUUCAUUUUCAUUUGAACAAUUGAUAUACAAAUAUUUAGGCUUUUUAUGCUUUACAUUAAAGCAUAGUUUUCUCUGUAUUAGAUUUUGAGUACUACACAGUCGCAUACUCUAUAAAUAAACAAAUAUAAUUUUAGUUGAGAAGUAUCUCCUUUCAUUUUUUUUUUUUUGUAGUUAGGAUAAACCUUAAUUUUGGACUGUGAUUCAUUGUAGCAUUGAAAAUUAGCACAAAGUUGUGGAUCAUGGGGAGACAAAUAGUACAAGAAAAAUACAUGUUUACUUCCAGAUCUCAUAAAACUUCUUGUUUAUAUAAGUCUCAUUUCAAUCAAAAGUAGAAAAGCAAGUCACUAUUUAUUUUAUUGCUUAGGGUGGCCAAUGAAAUUUUAUUGCUUUGAAGUUGUAAGAAGUUUGGUUACUUACCAAAUUGAGAAAAUAAAAGUAUAACUUUUCUUUUUGGCAGCAGAGGAAAAGUAAUAUGAGAAAAAGUUCAAAAUUAAGAUUUUCAUCUAGACUCUUGAUAUAGAGCUCUUAUCUACUAGAUGUAUAAUUUUGUGAUGACAGUGCAUAAUUUUGUAAUGACAAUGACUUGAAGACUCAGACAUAAGUGAAAAGAACAAUGGAGAUUUGGGUUUGAGAUGGCACCCUACCACUUUGAUUUUAGGCGAAUCAUUUGGUCUCUCCUUCACAGGUUUCAUGUGACAGGCUAGGUUAGAUUUGUGAACAUGCCUUGGAAAAUGGAUUAUUGUUAAAUUAUUAUUAUUAAGUCAUUAUAUGCUCCUGCUAAAAGGUUGGAACUGUUUUACAGGGUUGGAAAAUCCUUUUCUAUUUCACACUUUCUCCCCUUCCAAAUUUUCUUUCAGAUUUUUUUUUUCAAGAAUAUUAUUCUGGAUGGCCCAACUUUAAUACUUAGCAUGAGAAAAGAGUGGGUUCUUAGUACAUUACAGAGAAAAAUAAUUAGUUGAAAUGAGAAAGUUAUUGCAUUUUAAGAGAUCUUAUCAAAAGCACCUUGGGUGAGAAGAAAAUCCAAUCUCUGAGUCAUAGAUCCACCCACAGAUACCACAUUGUAAUGCUAUUAUCAAAAUACCAUCCUUUUCAUCACUGGUAGUUUCAUGAAUUGAAGCAUACAGAGAAAUGUAUUAUUGCUAUUGUUUGCUGUGUUUAAGGAUGCGUGUAUACUAGUUUAGAAAGAAUAUAUUUUUGAUGCAACAUAUAAUAGCAUACUUUGUACUUACAGAACUAGAUGUAUAAGGAAUUGUCAAUAAUCUAAACAUAGCCAGAGACAAGAAUAAUUCAAAGAAGCUCUAUUAAUGUCAAUGGACUCUGCUACUGAUAAAUGACUAAGAAGUCAUAUUUCCAAGUCAUUCAUUCAUUUGUUUUUUUUAACUAAUAUUAAUUAAGUGCCUUGAAAAGGUAUUGUACAACAUGCUAAGGUUUUGUGUAGGUGAUGAAGUGCAGCAUAUUAUUCAUUCUACCUUUUUUCCUUCCUGCCACACUUUAUCCAUCUUAUACCUGGGAUUUUUAUUUCUCUAUUUUAGGUUGUAAGCUCUUGGCAGAAAUCAUGUUUUAUAGUGCAAAAAAAGGAAAUGAGAGAGAAGAGGAUAUAUUGGAAGAAGUCAGAAGAAAAGAAAGAAAGAAAGAGAGAAAGAAAGAAAGAAGAAAGAAAGAAAGAAAGAAAGAAAGAAAGAAAGAAAGAAAGAAAGAAAGAAAGAAAGAAAGAAGAAAGAAAAGAAAAAAGAAAAGAAAUAAGGAGAGGGAAAGAAGGAAAGUAGGAAGGAGCAAAGAAAUGAAGGAAGGAAGAAAGAAAGAAUGAAAGAGAAAGAAACUAGGAAAAGAAAAGCUACAAGAAGGAAAUAAUGGUGCUUAGUUUUAUUAACAUUAAAAGAUCCCUUGUAUAAAGUUUCAGUAUGGUCAAGAUGUCAGAUCUUCCCAACUUGAUCUAUAAAUUCAAUGUAAUCCCAAUCAAAACCCCAGAAAGUUAUUUUGCGAAUAUUGAGAAACUUCUUCUAGGUUAAUAUGGAAACACAAUAAACUCAGAACGGCCAAGGAGAAGAACAAACGGGACAGAUAUAACCUGAUAUCAAGGCUUAUUAUAAAGCUGCAGUAAUUGGGGUGCCUGAGUGGCUCAGUUGGUUAUGUGUCUGCCUUCGGCUCAAGUCAUGAUCCCAGGGUCCUGAGAUGGAGCCCCAUGUAGGGCUAUCUGCUCAGCAGGGGGUCUGCUUCUUUGUCUCCUUCUGCCCCUCCCCCCCCCAUUUGUGUGCUUUCUCUCUCUUAGAUAAAUAAAUAAAAUCUUUUUAGAAAAUCUGCAGUAAUCAAAAUAAUGUGGAGUUGGUGAAAGAACAGAGAAAUAGAUCAGUAGAACAGAAUAGAGAGUCUAGAAAUAGACUCACAAAAAUAUAGUCAAUUGAUUUUUGACAAAGAAGUGAAGGCAAUACAAUAGAACAAAGAUAGUUUUCUCACAAAUGAUACUGGAAUAACUGAAUAUCUCUACAUGCAAAAAAAAAAAAAA